rnacentral:misc_RNA from 1 species
GAUGAAGAACGUAGCGAAACGCGAUAAGUAAUGUGAAUUGCAGAAUCCAGUGAAUCAUCGAAUCUUUGAACGCACAUUGCGCCCGCCAGCAUUCUGGCGGGCAUGCCUGUUCGAGCGUCAUUUCAACCCUCGACCUCCCCUUGGGAAGGUCGGCGUUGGGGACCGGCAGCACACCGCCGGCCCUGAAAUGGAGUGGCGGCCCGUCCGCGGCGACCUCUGCGCAGUAAUACAGCUCGCACCGGGACCCCGACGCGGCCACGCCGUAAAACACCCAACUUCUGAACGUUGACCUCGAAUCAGGUAGGACUACCCGCUGAACUUAAGCAUAUCAAUAAGCGGAGGA